AAGCCGCGCCCAAAAAUAACCGUCCGAAGGCCGGGGCGCCCAAUUCGUCCAGCGGAAAAAGGCCACAAAAACGGGUGGGCUAUAGACUUGGGGGGUGGGGCUGGCCGACUUCGUCCGCCGGACUCGGAAUGCAGCGAGAUUUUGCGAGGGGCCUCCGUGUGCCAAAAAUAGUCCGCGGGCAAAGCCGCGCCCAAAAAUAACCUCCCGAAGGCAGGGGCGCCCAGUUCGUCCAGCGGAAAAAGGCCACAAAAACGGGUGGGCUAUAGCCUUGGGGGUGGGGCGGGUCAACUUCCUCCG
rnacentral:lncRNA from 1 species